UCAGGAUGAAGGGGGCUGUGCGACGGG
rnacentral:piRNA from 1 species